rnacentral:lncRNA from 1 species
AGGUGAAAUUGACCCAGUGAGUUUUGAGUUAGACAAAACGAGUCUAACUAUGUCACGACUCACCGAGUCACAUGAAAUACCUCUCCAAGUACAGUAAUCGGUGUUGUUUUCAGACCAAGUACUAAGAACAUUUUCAGGGUCUUCUGUAAAAGAUGAUUUCACCUCCAAAAGCACAUUCAAAGUGGUUUUAUCAUUAUCAUGACAAAGGACUAAUAGAACACAAGAGAAGAAGCAUAAGAGAAAAAGUAUCGAUACUUUCAUUGUUAAUGCUAUUUUUGGUUUAAGCUAGUUUGAAAAGAAUUGUCACAAACGUAGAAAAAUAUGAACUCUUAUGAAUAUGAAUAAAGAAGCAAAUUAAAAAAAACAAAAUGACACAAACAAAGAAGCAAAAUAAAUAAAAAACAUAAAAACUCCAAAAACUCUUUCAAAAAAGAUAACCCAGUUUUUUCGUAUGUUUUUUGUUUAUUCUGUUCGGAUAUAAAUAUAGAGAAUGUCGAGGAAAUAAAGAAAGUGUGGUUAUUUUGGUAUAAGGAAGCCGAUUUCGGCGGUGGUGGCGGAGAACAGGGGAGGUACCGGCGGUGGUGGCGGAGAACAGGGGAGGUACCGGCGGUUGGGGGAGAGUGGUAGUGUUUUAGGGUUUGAG